GAUGAACGCUGGCGGCGUGCCUAACACAUGCAAGUCGAGCGAACGGGCGAGACGCUUGCUUUUCUGAUGUUAGCGGCAGACGGGUGAGUCACGCGUGGAUAACCCACCUAUCAUACUGGUAUCACUUCGGGACACCGGCGCUUAUACCGGAGAAUCUUUUGCACCGCGUGGUUCGAAAGUGAGAGUCGGCCUUGCUGGCUGUUCUAGCUGGAUAUCAGCUGCAUGAGCUAGUUGGUAAGGUAACGGCUUACCAAGGCUACCAGGCAUGAGCGACGGGAGGGAGUGAUCGGCCGCACGAGAACGUGGACGGGGUCAAGACUCCUGCGGGAGGCAGCAGUAGGGAAUCGUCGGCAGUGGGCGAAAGCCUGGCGGAGCAACGCCGCGUGAGUGAUGAAGGUCUUCGGAUCGUAAAACUCUGUUAUGAGGGAAGAACAGAUUUGGAAGUAACUGUGCACAUCGUGACGGUACCUAAUAAGAAAGCCACGGCUAACUACGUG
rnacentral:rRNA from 1 species